AUUGAACGCUGGCGGCAGGCCUAACACAUGCAAGUCGAGCGGAUGAAGGGAGCUUGCUCCUGGAUUCAGCGGCGGACGGGUGAGUAAUGCCUAGGAAUCUGCCUGGUAGUGGGGGAUAACGUCCGGAAACGGGCGCUAAUACCGCAUACGUCCUGAGGGAGAAAGUGGGGGAGCUUCGGACCUCACGCUAUCAGAUGAGCCUAGGUCGGAUUAGCUAGUUGGUGGGGUAAAGGCCUACCAAGGCGACGAUCCGUAACUGGUCUGAGAGGAUGAUCAGUCACACUGGAACUGAGACACGGUCCAGACUCCUACGGGAGGCAGCAGUGGGGAAUAUUGGACAAUGGGCGCAAGCCUGAUCCAGCCAUGCCGCGUGUGUGAAGAAGGUCUUCGGAUUGUAAAGCCCUUUAAGUUGGGAGGAAGGGCAGUAAGUUAAUACCUUGCUGUUUUGACGUUACCAACAGAAUAAGCACCGGCUAACUUCGUG
rnacentral:rRNA from 1 species